rnacentral:lncRNA from 1 species
CUGGGAGGUGGAGCUUGCAGUGAGAAACUCAAAUUCUAAACAAUAACAAUAUGAGGAAGGGAGUGUUGAGUAGUAUUCAAUGGAUAAAGUAUGCUAAAGUCAUCGUGGUCUGUAGGAAAUGAGACAUAUUGAAUAAUUGUUGGAAAAAAACGGACAGAUAAUUGUGCAUGUUAAUAUCUGAAAGGCUACCAUUAAAAGAAUAAAGCUUUUGACCAGGUGUGGUGGCUCAUGCCUGUAAUCCCAGCACUUUGGGAGGCCAAGGCAGGUGGAUCACUUGAGGUCAGGAGUUCAAGACCAGCCUGGCCAACACAGUGAAACCCUGUUUCUACUAAAAAAAUACAAAAAUUAGCUGGUCGUGGUGGUGCACGCCUGUAAUCCCAGCUACUCGGGAGGCUGAGGCACAAGAAUCCUUUGAACCCGGGAGAUGGAGGCUGCAGUGAGCUGAGAUC